rnacentral:rRNA from 1 species
GUACGGGGGGGGCAAGCGUUGUUCGGAAUUAUUGGGCGUAAAGAGCUCGUAGGCGGUUUGUCGCGUCUGCCGUGAAAGUCCGGGGCUCAACUCCGGAUCUGCGGUGGGUACGGGCAGACUAGAGUGAUGUAGGGGAGACUGGAAUUCCUGGUGUAGCGGUGAAAUGCGCAGAUAUCAGGAGGAACACCGAUGGCGAAGGCAGGUCUCUGGGCAUUAACUGACGCUGAGGAGCGAAAGCAUGGGGAGCGAACAGG